UAUUAAUUUAUGUUAAAACAACCUUAUUGAUCAAAUAUAAUAAAAAAAAGUCUCAUAAAAAAAUAAUUAAUGAAUAUGGAUUUAAUUGGUUAAAUUGUUAAAUUUCUUCUUAAUUUGAAUUUUUAAAAAGUAAUGUGUACUUAUUGUAACAUUUUUUUAAAAUCGGGGUGGAUUAAUAAAAAUUUUGGGGUGGAAAUAUCACCACCUAUGGUAAAUAUACUCAUUCAAGUAGUCAAGCCUACAGUUAAGAUAAAUAGAUAACAGAUUAAUGAUUGUAGUUUAAUUAUGCGAACGUGACAUACAUAUCUAUCAUAAAUUAUCAUGAAAUGUGGUAAAGCUUCAAUUCUUUUGAAACAUGAUAAAUAUAUAUAAUUAAAUUAUAACUGCUAAUCCGUUAUCUAUUUAUCUUCAUUGUCGGCUUGACUACCUUAGUUUUCUUAAAAAUUGGGAAAAAAAAGUUAUUGUUUGUGGGGAAAAGGACAUCCACACC
rnacentral:lncRNA from 1 species